rnacentral:rRNA from 1 species
UAACACAUGCAAGUCGAACGGUAACAGGAAGUGCUUGCACUUCGCUGACGAGUGGCGGACGGGUGAGUAAUGCUUGGGAACUUGCCUUUGCGAGGGGGAUAACAGUUGGAAACGACUGCUAAUACCGCAUAANGUCUACGGACCAAACGGGGCUUAGGCUCCGGCGCAAAGAGAGGCCCAAGUGAGAUUAGCUAGUUGGUAAGGUAAAGGCUUACCAAGGCAACGAUCUCUAGCUGUUCUGAGAGGAAGAUCAGCCACACUGGAACUGAGACACGGUCCAGACUCCUACGGGAGGCAGCAGUGGGGAAUAUUGCACAAUGGGGGAAACCCUGAUGCAGCCAUGCCGCGUGUGUGAAGAAGGCCUUCGGGUUGUAAAGCACUUUCAGUUGUGAGGAAAAGUUAGUAGUUAAUACCUGCUAGCCGUGACGUUAACAACAGAAGAAGCACCGGCUAACUCCGUGCCAGCAGCCGCGGUAAUACGGAGGGUGCGAGCGUUAAUCGGAAUUACUGGGCGUAAAGCGCACGCAGGCGGUUUGUUAAGCUAGAUGUGAAAGCCCCGGGCUCAACCUGGGAUGGUCAUUUAGAACUGGCAGA